rnacentral:rRNA from 1 species
UACGAAGGGGGCUAGCGUUGCUCGGAAUCACUGGGCGUAAAGGGUGCGUAGGCGGGUCUUUAAGUCCGGGGUGAAAUCCUGGAGCUCAACUCCAGAACUGCCCUUGAUACUGAGGAUCUUGAGUUCGGGAGAGGUGAGUGGAACUGCGAGUGUAGAGGUGAAAUUCGUAGAUAUUCGCAAGAACACCAGUGGCGAAGGCGGCUCACUGGCCCGAUACUGACGCUGAGGCACGAAAGCGUGGGGAGCAAACAGG